UACGAAGGGGGCUAGCGUUGCUCGGAAUGACUGGGCGUAAAGGGCGCGUAGGCGGAUGGUACAGUCAGAUGUGAAAUUCCCGGGCUUAACCUGGGGGCUGCAUUUGAUACAUGCGAUCUGGAGUGAGGAAGAGGGUCGUGGAAUUCCCAGUGUAGAGGUGAAAUUCGUAGAUAUUGGGAAGAACACCGGUGGCGAAGGCGGCGACCUGGUCCUUGACUGACGCUGAGGCGCGAAAGCGUGGGGAGCAAACAGG
rnacentral:rRNA from 1 species